UACACGAAGAACUUACCAGGUUUGACAUACAAGUAGUAGGAAAGGAAACUGGACGACCCUUCGGGAGCUUGUACAGGUGCUGCAUGGCUGUCGUCAGCUCGUGUCGUGAGAUGUUCGGUUAAGUCCGCUAACGAGCGCAACCCUCGCUGUGUGUUACAAGUGUCACACGGAACUGCCGGUCAUAAACCGGAGGAAGGUGGGAUGACGUCAAGUCAGCAUGGCCUUUAUAUCCUGGGCUACACACACGCUACAAUGGGAAGGGACAAUAGGUUGCGAAGCCGCGAGGCGGAGCCAAUCCAGCAAAACUUCCCUCAGUUCAGAUUGCAGGCUGCAACUCGCCUGCAUGAAGUUGGAGUUGCUAGUAAACGCAGGUCAGCCAUACUGCGUUGAAUACGUUCCCGGGGCUU
rnacentral:rRNA from 1 species